rnacentral:rRNA from 1 species
AUUGAACGCUGGCGGCAUGCUUUACACAUGCAAGUCGGACGGCAGCGCGGGCUUCGGCCUGGCGGCGAGUGGCGAACGGGUGAGUAAUACAUCGGAACGUGCCCAGUAGUGGGGGAUAGCUCGGCGAAAGCCGGAUUAAUACCGCAUACGACCUGAGGGUGAAAGCGGGGGACUUUAGGGCCUCGCGCUAUUGGAGCGGCCGAUGGCAGAUUAGCUAGUUGGUGGGGUAAAGGCCUACCAAGGCGACGAUCUGUAGCUGGUCUGAGAGGACGACCAGCCACACUGGACUGAGACACGGCCCAGACUCCUACGGGAGGCAGCAGUGGGGAAUGUUGGACAAUGGGCGCAAGCCUGAUCCAGCAAUGCCGCGUGUGUGAUGAAGGCCUUCGGGUUGUAAAGCACUUUUGGCAGGAACGAAAAGUGCCGUGCUAAUACCACGGUACGAUGACGGUACCUGCAGAAUAAGCACCGGCUAACUACGUG